GAGUCAGUAGGUUGGUCGUGCCACCGGUACGUACUGGUCUCACUGAUUCCUCCUUCCUGAAGAACCGUAAUGCCAUUUAUUUGGUGUUGCGGGGAAACAGGACUGUUACUUUGAAAAAAUUAGAGUGUUUAAAGCAAGCUAACGCUUGAAUACAUUAGCAUGGAAUAAUGAAAUAGGACGAUCGAUCCUAUUUUGUUGGUUUCUAGGAUUGACGUA
rnacentral:rRNA from 1 species